rnacentral:rRNA from 1 species
GACGAACGCUGGCGGCGUGCCUAAUACAUGCAAGUCGAACGCAGUGGGGACGGGUGAGUAACACGUGGGUAACCUCCCAUCAGAGGGGAUAACACUUGGAAACAGCUGCUAAACCGAUACUGAUGGACGGCCCCGCGGUGCUUUGGCUAGUUGGUGAGGUAACGGCUCACCAAGGCCACGAUGCAUAGCAGACCUGAGAGGGUGAUCGGCCACACUGGAACGGAGACACGGGCCAGAAUCCUACGGGAGGCAGCAGUAGGGAAUCUUCGGCAAUGGGCGAAAGUCUGACCGAGCAACGCCGCGUGAGUGAAGAAGGUGUUCGGAUCGUAAAACUCUGUUGUUAGAGAAGCGGUAGCUAACCAGAAAGCCACGGCUAACUACGUGCCAGCAGCCGCGGUAAUAC